rnacentral:rRNA from 1 species
AUUGAACGCUGGCGGCAUGCCUUACACAUGCAAGUCGAACGGCAGCACGGACUUCGGUCUGGUGGCGAGCGGCGAACGGGUGAGUAAUGUAUCGGAACGUACCUUUUAGUGGGGGAUAACGUAGGGAAAGUUACGCUAAUACCGCAUAUUCUGUGAGCAGGAAAGCAGGGGAUCGAAAGACCUUGCGCUGACUGAGCGGCCGAUAUCCGAUUAGCUAGUUGGUGGGGUAAAGGCCUACCAAGGCGACGAUCUGUAGCGGGUCUGAGAGGAUGAUCAGCCACACUGGAACUGAGACACGGUCCAGACUCCUACGGGAGGCAGCAGUGGGGAAUUUUGGACAAUGGGGGCAACCCUGAUCCAGCCAUGCCGCGUGAGUGAAGAAGGCCUUCGGGUUGUAAAGCUCUUUCGGCCGGGAAGAAAUCGCAUAGGCUAAUACCCUGUGUGGAUGACGGUACCGGAAGAAGAAGCACCGGCUAACUACGUG